CGUGGGUCCUGGGCUGAGCUGAGAUUGCGGAUGGGGUUUCUUUCCUUUCCUUUUCUGAUUUCUUUUUUUUCUUUUUUUUUUUCGAGGGCUUUGCUGUAAAUCAACCCAAACUCCCUAGAGAGCAUCGUCUCUGUACCGCAGUGGUAGCCCCUCCUUCAGCUGGGCAUGAGGACAGGAAUGAAGCCAGCCACAGUGUGGGAGAGCAGCAUCCCCAUGGGACUGCCACCUCCCAGGAGUUAUGUCAUGGGGCAGGAGGUCAGGAUGUGGCUACCCCAUCCCAAACUGCAGCUUGGAGCCAAGAGAGAUCCAUUUCGGAGCUCUGCUCACUCAACUCAGGAGUUCAGCCACCUCCUACUGCAGCGUGGCAGGAGUUAUUCAAAGGCAGGCGGAAGCGAGCACAGCAACUGAAACAACAAUGAAAAGGAAACAGAGCUCGAAAAAUUCUCCGUUCAUAAAUCAACUGAACUGCAGGUGAUCCCUGGGCAGGAGCGAGCUGAGGAAGAGACACGGCUUGGCUCGGCAUGGCCAGCAGCCAGGCAGGCUCCAGCCCCCCAGGCAGGGAUGGGGGAGGCCGGGAUUUCCCAGGGUGGUCCUGAGUGAUGCUGGGGUCGGUGUCCAUGUCCCCAGGGCUGCACAUCAGGGACUUUGAGGCAGGAAAUAGAGCUGCUGGAUUGGGACGAGCUCCUCAGUGCUGGCAGCAUCUCUGCACGGGCAGGGGAUGGGCAUGGUUGGAAAAAAUCUCUCCCUCCUGCUUCCAGUUGUGUCCUGCAGCAUCUUGCUGCAGGCAGGAUAGUGGCCAGUUUGGACAAACCUAGCUGUCCCCUCCUAGCUGUCCCCUUUGCCAGCUCCUGUAAGCUGAGACCCAGUCCUGGGGACACCAAAAGGAACUUGUGCUUUUGGGACCAGUGUAUGGCCCCAAGGACCAGGCUGGUGGCAAUGGGCUGACCUUACAGCAGAGGAAAUGACCCAGUCAUGUUCCCCACAGUGGGAAAGCCAGGAGAGAUUGCAUGUCCCCCUCUGCUGCUAUCUGUUCUCCAUCCUGUGAAUUCACUGUCAUCUUGUCUUUUGGCAGAGCUGCAAA